rnacentral:lncRNA from 1 species
UAUAAUGGUUGCCAUGGUUAGUGUUAUUGGUCAUCAUGAUCAAAGAAAACAAGAAUAAUAGUUUAGUCUUCUCUAACAGUCGUUACUUUGAAACGUUAGAUUCAAAUUUUGUUGAAAGAACCAAGAUUUGUUGAAAGAACCAAGAUUUUACUUCGAGGGACAGCCCAGACCUGGAAAAAAAAAGUACGGUCCUCGGAAAGGGUAUUCGUGUAAAUUUGUACGAAACGUGGGUCAAAAAUGGAAAAUUGCCGUCCCUCUCUCUUUGAGUCACAAGAACUAGUCUUGGCACUCUUCCAAAAAAAUCGCGGAAGAUAAUUAAAAAAAUUAUUUUUUUAUUAAUUAAUU